CUAGGCAGCCAUAUCACCUUGUAGCCCAAGACUGGUUGCCCACUGAAGCUAAGCAGGGCUGAGCCUGGUCAGUACCUGGA
rnacentral:rRNA from 1 species